GAUUAUGGCUCAGGAUGAACGCUAGCGACAGGCUAACACAUGCAAGUCGAGGGGCAGCACGGGAGUAGGCAAUACAACUGGUGGCGACCGGCGCACGGGUGAGUAACGCGUAUGCAACCUACCUAUCAGAGGGGAAUAACCCGGCGAAAGUCGGACUAAUACCGCAUAAAACAGGGGCACCGCAUGGUGAUAUUUGUUAAAGAAAUUCGCUGAUAGAUGGGCAUGCGUUCCAUUAGGUAGUUGGUGAGGUAACGGCUCACCAAGCCGACGAUGGAUAGGGGAACUGAGAGGUUGGUCCCCCACACUGGUACUGAGACACGGACCAGACUCCUACGGGAGGCAGCAGUGAGGAAUAUUGGUCAAUGGGCGGGAGCCUGAACCAGCCAAGUCGCGUGAAGGAAAAGAAGGAUCUAUGGUUCGUAAACUUCUUUUGCAGGGGAAUAAAGUGCAGGACGUGUCCUGUUUUGUAUGUACCCUGAGAAUAAGGAUCGGCUAACUCCGUGCCAGCAGCUGC
rnacentral:rRNA from 1 species